GACGAACGCUGGCGGCGUGCUUAACACAUGCAAGUCGAGCGGAAAGGCCCUGCGUUUGUGGGGUGCUCGAGUGGCGAACGGGUGAGUAACACGCGUGUAUCCUGCCCUUGUCUUUGGGGUAUCUUCAGGAAACUGGGGCUAUUACCGGAUAGGAGCUCUUGCUGCGUGUUGGGGGUUGGAAAGUUUCGGCGGUUGGGGAUGGACUCGCGGCUUAUCCGCUUGAUGGUGGGGUAGUGGCUUACCAAGGCUUUGACGGGUAGCCGGCCUGAGAGGGUGGCCGGCCACAUUGGGACUAAGAUACGGACCAGACGCGUACGGGAGGCAGCAGGGGGGAAUAUUGCACAAUGGGCGGAAGCCGGAUGCAGCAACGCCGCGUGCGGGAUGACGGCCUUCGGGGGGUAAACCGCUGUCGACGGUGACGAAGCGUGAGUGACGGUAAUGGGUAAAGAAGCAACGGCUAACUACGUG
rnacentral:rRNA from 1 species